UGGGGGAUAUUGCACAAUGGAGGAAACUCUGAUGCAGCGACGCCGCGUGAGGGAAGAAGGUCUUCGGAUUGUAAACCUCUGUCUUUGGGGACGAAGAAAGUGACGGUACCCAAAGAGGAAGCCACGGCUAACUACGUGCCAGCAGCCGCGGUAAUACGUAGGUGGCGAGCGUUGUCCGGAAUUACUGGGUGUAAAGGGUGCGUAGGCGGACUGGCAAGUUGGAUGUGAAAUCUCCGCGCUUAACGUGGAGGUUGCAUUCAAAACUGUUGGUCUUGAGUGUGGCAGAGGCAGGCGGAAUUCCAGGUGUAGCGGUGAAAUGCGUAGAGAUCGGGAGGAACACCAAUGGCGAAGGCAGUCACUUGGUCCAUUACUGACGCUAAAGCACGAAAGCGUGGGUAGCAAACA
rnacentral:rRNA from 1 species